rfam:Streptomyces sp. e14 genomic scaffold supercont1.1, whole genome shotgun sequence.
UCGGCUCCGGUUCACGCUUCCGCAUCCCGCGGACGGCGACCCGGCGCC